GACGAACGCUGGCGGCGUGCUUAACACAUGCAAGUCGAACGGAAAGACCCUGCUUUUGUGGGGUGCUCGAGUGGCGAACGGGUGAGUAACACGUGAGUAACCUGCCCUUGACUUUGGGAUAACUUCAGGAAACUGGGGCUAAUACCGGAUAGGAGCUCCUGCUGCAUGGUGGGGGUUGGAAAGUUUCGGCGGUUGGGGAUGGACUCGCGGCUUAUCAGCUUGUUGGUGGGGUAGUGGCUUACCAAGGCUUUGACGGGUAGCCGGCCUGAGAGGGUGACCGGCCACAUUGGGACUGAGAUACGGCCCAGACUCCAACGGGAGGCAGCAGUGGGGAAUAUUGCACAAUGGGCGGAAGCCUGAUGCAGCAACGCCGCGUUCGGGAUGACGGCCUUCGGGUUGUAAACCGCUUUCGCCUGUGACGAAGCGUGAGUGACGGUAAUGGGUAAAGAAGCACCGGCUAACUACGUG
rnacentral:rRNA from 1 species